rnacentral:rRNA from 1 species
GAUGAACGCUGGCGGCGUGCCUAAUACAUGCAAGUCGAGCGAACAGACGAGGAGCUUGCUCCUUUGACGUUAGCGGCGGACGGGUGAGUAACACGUGGGUAACCUACCUAUAAGACUGGGAUAACUUCGGGAAACCGGAGCUAAUACCGGAUAAUAUUUCGAACCGCAUGGUUCGAUAGUGAAAGAUGGCUUUGCUAUCACUUAUAGCUGGACCUGCGCCGUAUUAGCUAGUUGGUAAGGUAACGGCGUACCAAGGCAACGAUACGUAGCCGACCUGAGAGGGUGAUCGGCCACACUAGAACUGAGACACGGUCCAGACUCCUACGGGAGGCAGCAGUAGGGAAUCUUCCGCAAUGGGCGAAAGCCUGACGGAGCAACGCCGCGUGAGUGAUGAAGGUCUUCGGAGCGUAAAACUCUGUUAUUAGGGAAGAACAAACGUGUAAGUAACUGUGCACGUCUUGACGGUACCUAAUCAGAAAGCCACGGCUAACUACGUG